CUGUAAGCCUGCGAAGGUGACCUGUGAGGGUUGCUGGAGGUAUCAGAAGUGCGAAUGCUGACAUAAGUAACGAUAAAGCGGGUGAAAAGCCCGCUCGCCGGAAGACCAAGGGUUCCUGUCCAACGUUAAUCGGGGCAGGGUGAGUCGACCCCUAAGGCGAGGCCGAAAGGCGUAGUCGAUGGGAAACAGGUUAAUAUUCCUGUACUUGGUGUUACUGCGAAGGGGGGACGGAGAAGGCUAUGUUAGCCGGGCGACGGUUGUCCCG
rnacentral:rRNA from 1 species